UGUUUAGAUGUCUUAUUAUUUCAUCUCCCACUAUUAAAAAAACCACUCAACUCUCCUCUCCUCUCCAUCCAAGCUUUCAAACACAAUUUCUUCCUCUUCAUAAACUCAACCCCACACUCCAUCCAUCAAGAAAGAAUGUGAACAAGUAUGUGAUUCCACCAACAAAUGAGGAGCAUAGUAAGCCCAGACUUGCAAGAAUCAAGGGUCCUUGUGCCAUUCCUCUUCAUGGUGGUCUAGAGCUUGUUUAGAAGUUGAAGCCAAGAUUUGUGCAGCAGGUUUUGGAUAUUUCCUUGAUGCUAUCACAAUGAAAGAAGAUCAUCAUCAUGAGUAAGGAUUUGAUUAAAGUUAGUGCUCUAGGAGAAUUAUUCUGGGAAACCAAUUAUACCUUUCACUUUUUAAAUGUAGGCAAGGUAACUUUGUACCUAAUGACUUCAAACUAAUCUUUGGCAUCAAGAUUGGUGGUCAAUCUUGCAAAAUUAAUAGUCCUAGUUUUUUUGGUUUUAGGGUCGCAUUUUGUUUUAUUGAGUUAUAUGAAUGUUUUAUUAGAGAAUUGUCAAAGGAGUUGCUAGGACUUACUUAGUGCUGCAAAAUUCCAUGUGCCAAAAUAGGUGCUAAUAAGGGUUGUAAUCAUUGCAAAAUAAGUUAGGUCAAUUUUAAAAUUAGGAAUUGCUAAAGAUCUCAAGUUUUAGAUGGUUCCCUCGAGCUAGCUCGGGACUCACUUUAAAAAAAACUAGGUAGAGGCUUUGCUCGACCUUUGCUCAAGUGAGAUUACCAAUUUUGCAAAUUGAUUUAACCUAAACUUUUACCUAUCUAUAAAUAUGUACCCUUUGAUGAAUGGCUUUCAAAAGAGAGGAUGCUGUACAAAGAGCAUUCUAAGAAGCCUUCUUGCUCUGAGCCUAAAUGGAGAAAAUACUUCUCCCAUUCUUUUCACAUUGUGAACCUAAACUGAUUUCCAUCCAAAGAACAGAAAUUCUUAACCGUUGUCAGCGAGUUCACUAUCACUCAUGGUGGAGAUUCUAAUCUGCAGUGGGAGACAAAUGGGUCAUUUGCCAGGUUACACAUCAAUUCUAAGUUUGCUAAGUUUUGUAAGUAUAGGUUAGUAUUAAGAAUCUUUAUCUUAUAGUGAAACUUCAUGUGGGAUUGGUUAUCUGAAGUGGAUUUUCUUUUAAAAGUUCUACAAAAGUGUUCCACUCAUCA